UGAAUCUUUAAUGGAACCUACUUGCUGUCUCCCUUUUCUUACUCUGGGUUUCAGGGGGAGAAGAGCAGGUGACAGGAGUAAAAAACAUGUUCAGAAGAAAAAUAGAGUAGCCAUCAAUCAGAAUUUUUCUAGGUAUUGAAGAAGACAUCACUGGGAAAAAAAUUCAGAAGCAGAGUCAAAACAAGAGACCAUGAACAGCUUAGGCUCUGUCCCAG
rnacentral:lncRNA from 12 species